rnacentral:rRNA from 1 species
GUAAGGAAUAUUGGUCAAUGGACGAAAGUCUGAACCAGCCAUGCCGCGUGGAGGAUGAAGGUCCUCUGGAUUGUAAACUUCUUUUAUAUGGGACGAAAAUGGGGCUUUCUAGCUCAACUGACGGUACCAUAUGAAUAAGCACCGGCUAACUCCGUGCCAGCAGCCGCGGUAAUACGGAGGGUGCAAGCGUUAUCCGGAUUCACUGGGUUUAAAGGGUGCGUAGGUGGAUUGGUAAGUCAGAGGUGAACUCUCCGGGCUCAACUCGGAAACUGCCUUUGAUACAAUCAAGCUUGAAUAUUGUGGAGGUCAGCGGAAUAUGUCAUGUAGCGGUGAAAUGCUUAGAUAUGACAUAGAACACCACUUGCGAAGGCAGCUGGCUACACAUAUAUUGACACUGAGGCACGAAAGCGUGGGGAUCAAACAGGAUUAGAUACCCGGGUAGUCC